rnacentral:lncRNA from 1 species
AAACAUGCUACUAAAGAAUCUACUAGAGCACUCUUCAGGGAUUACUCAUAAUGCGCAACUGAAAACCAAAGAAUUCGAGGCGCAGUUAACAUUGUUCCGGGUUCAGACGCCACUGUUCUCGUGUCUCCUCUCCUGUAGCAUAGUUGUGAAUCAAGUUUACAGCAGAAACCUGCAUCUAUCUAUAUUCUGAACUAGAAUUGAAACAAGUCUACUUCGACGAGCGGCAAAGCCAAAAACGGGCGAGGGAUCUGCUUGUCCUGUAUUCUGAACCUGCAUCUAUGUAUCCAUAUAUGUCAAUCUAUCUAUAGGCAAAAGUAGGUGUUCAUUUUUGUUGUCGUUGCGUCGGAGGCGGCGAAACUUCUGAGAUUAUGAACUUCCUGUCGCCUGCAUCAUCCGUAUCCUGGCGUCGCAGCUUCUCUAGGCUGCCUGCAUUUGUACAAAACUAGUCAGAUAAUGCAGCUGACCAACAAGCCAGUCAGACUAAAUUCUCGGAAUUCUGAAUCAAAACAGACGAACUGCAUUCAGUUUAUAAGACCUCUCAAGCUUAAAUUCAGACAACCUUUUGAAGCUUAAAUUCAGUUAGCACAAACAGCAGAACCAAAAGCGUCUAAAACAGAAUUCAGAGCCUGAUCAACUAGUUGCAGAAACCACUGCAUUUUCGCGAAAUGCAUGAUCAACAGCCCUUCGUUGGACUGAAACUCAAGUAGUCAGCAAACAGCAACAGCCACGAAAUUGGCACAUCAACAAGUUCAGAAGAACCUGCAACUAUCUAUCUAUUCUACCUACAGGCAAAGUAAAAGACGCAUCCAGUUCUGAUGCAUUGGGAACUAGAGAUGAACUGGAUUUGGGGUUCUCACCGCGUUGUCGGUGGGGGAAUGGAGGAGGUGAGCAUAGGCGCUGCUGGGUGCGGUGCGGCCAAGGCUCCCUGCCAAGAUGAGGCGCUGCAGGGUGCCGCCAUGGCUCCCUGCGAAGAUGGGG